UUCGUCACACUAUCAUUAACUGAAUCCAUAGGUUAAUGAGGCGAACCGGGGGAACUGAAACAUCUAAGUACCCCGAGGAAAAGAAAUCAACCGAGAUUCCCCCAGUAGCGGCGAGCGAACGGGGAGGAGCCCAGAGCCUGAAUCAGUGUGUGUGUUAGUGGAAGCGUCUGGAAAGGCGCGCGAUACAGGGUGACAGCCCCGUACACAAAAAUGCACAUACUGUGAGCUCGAUGAGUAGGGCGGGACACGUGGUAUCCUGUCUGAAUAUGGGGGGACCAUCCUCCAAGGCUAAAUACUCCUGACUGACCGAUAGUGAACCAGUACCGUGAGGGAAAGGCGAAAAGAACCCCGGCGAGGGGAGUGAAAAAGAACCUGAAACCGUGUACGUACAAGCAGUGGGAGCCUCUUUAUGGGGUGACUGCGUACCUUUUGUAUAAUGGGUCAGCGACUUAUAUUCUGUAGCAAGGUUAACCGAAUAGGGGAGCCGAAGGGAAACCGAGUCUUAACUGGGCGUUAAGUUGCAGGGUAUAGACCCGAAACCCGGUGAUCUAGCCAUGGGCAGGUUGAAGGUUGGGUAACACUAACUGGAGGACCGAACCGACUAAUGUUGAAAAAUUAGCGGAUGACUUGUGGCUGGGGGUGAAAGGCCAAUCAAACCGGGAGAUAGCUGGUUCUCCCCGAAAGCUAUUUAGGUAGCGCCUCGUGAAUUCAUCUCCGGGGGUAGAGCACUGUUUCGGCAAGGGGGUCAUCCCGACUUACCAACCCGAUGCAAACUGCGAAUACCGGAGAAUGUUAUCACGGGAGACACACGGCGGGUGCUAACGUCCGUCGUGAAGAGGGAAACAACCCAGACCGCCAGCUAAGGUCCCAAAGUCAUGGUUAAGUGGGAAACGAUGUGGGAAGGCCCAGACAGCCAGGAUGUUGGCUUAGAAGCAGCCAUCAUUUAAAGAAAGCGUAAUAGCUCACUGGUCGAGUCGGCCUGCGCGGAAGAUGUAACGGGGCUAAACCAUG
rnacentral:rRNA from 1 species